GGGGAAGUGUCGGAAUGGUAGACGAGCAUGAUUUAGGAUCAUGUGCCGCAAGGCGUGGGGGUUCGAAUCCCCCCUUCCCCACCA
rnacentral:tRNA from 1 species